rnacentral:rRNA from 1 species
GAUGAACGCUGGCGGCGUGCCUAAUACAUGCAAGUCGAGCGAACAGACGAGGAGCUUGCUCCUCUGACGUUAGCGGCGGACGGGUGAGUAACACGUGGAUAACCUACCUAUAAGACUGGGAUAACUUCGGGAAACCGGAGCUAAUACCGGAUAAUAUAUUGAACCGCAUGGUUCAAUAGUGAAAGACGGUUUUGCUGUCACUUAUAGAUGGAUCCGCGCCGAAUUAGCUAGUUGGUAAGGCAACGGCUUACCAAGGCAACGAUGCGUAGCCGACCUGAGAGGGUGAUCGGCCACACUGGAACUGAGACACGGUCCAGACUCCUACGGGAGGCAGCAGUAGGGAAUCUUCCGCAAUGGGCGAAAGCCUGACGGAGCAACGCCGCGUGAGUGAUGAAGGUCUUCGGAUCGUAAAACUCUGUUAUUAGGGAAGAACAAAUGUGUAAGUAACUAUGCACGUCUUGACGGUACCUAAUCAGAAAGCCACGGCUAACUACGUG